rnacentral:rRNA from 1 species
CGGAAACGGACGCUAAUACCGCAUACGUCCUACGGGNGAAANCGGGGGGAUCUUCGGACCUCGCGCCAUUAGAUGAGCCUAGGUCGGAUUAGCUAGUUGGUGAGGUAAUGGCUCACCAAGGCGACGAUCCGUAACUGGUCUGAGAGGAUGAUCAGUCACACUGGAACUGAGACACGGUCCAGACUCCUACGGGAGGCAGCAGUGGGGAAUAUUGGACAAUGGGCGAAAGCCUGAUCCAGCCAUGCCGCGUGUGUGAAGAAGGUCUUCGGAUUGUAAAGCACUUUAAGUUGGGAGGAAGGGUAGUAACCUAAUACGUUGCUACUUUGACGUUACCGACAGAAUAAGCACCGGCUAACUUCGUG